UAGGGAGGGCCUGGCUCAGAGCCCCUCGGGUCCGGACGGACGGACGUAGGGAGGGCCUGGCUCAGAGCCCCUCGGGUCCGGACGGACGGACGUAGGGAGGGCCUGGCUCAGAGCCCCUCGGGUACGGACGGACGGACGUAGGGAGGGCCUGGCUCAGAGCCCCUCGGGUACGGACGGAUGGAUGGACAUAGGGAGGGCCAGGCUCAGAGCCCCUUGGGUCUAGAUGGUCAGUUGAAUGCAGAUAUGCGGAUGAUGCAGUAAUAUAUGCCAGCCACAAGGUCAGCAAUUAGGCAGACCCAGGAUCAGGACUAGAGUGGCAUGGGGCACAUCUGAUGAGGCACCAGAUCAGAGAAUGCAGCCCCCAGCACUGAUGAGCAAAGAGCAGGGACACUGGGGCAUUUGCUGGUUGCAGCUGGAGAGUCCUCUGUGCACGAAUGAAGCAGUGAGCACAAAAAACCCUGCACAGAAGAACAGAGCUAACCUUUCUUGAUUCAGCUGGAAGGCAAGCAGAAGUAGAAGCUCAUCAACAGAGUGUGAGGCACGUGAUAGGUAUCUUAUAAAUACAAAAAGGAUGCAAGGAAGACAGGAAGAGUGUCAGAACCCUGCCUCAGGAUUUCUCCUCAUCCUUAGCUCUUGGGAACCAGCCAGAGUCUGCCAGCCCUCGAACCUGAAUCCCUUGAUAACCCAUCUCCUCCAGCUGCUCUGCUACUCGAUCCACAUUCAGAAGCACCCCAGUUCCCCCAGCACUGCAAUGACAAGAUCAGUAAUUCAGUCACAG